GGCGGGGUAACGGCCCACCAAGGCUACGAUCGGUAGGGGUUCUGAGAGGAAGGUCCCCCACAAUGGAACUGAGACACGGUCCAUACUCCUACGGGAGGCAGCAGUGAGGAAUAUUGGUCAAUGGGCGGAAGCCUGAACCAGCCAUGCCGCGUGCGGGAAGGAGGCCCUAUGGGCUGUGAACCGCUUUUGCCUGGGGGCAGUAAGGGCGUCGUGCACGUCCGAUGAGAGUACCAGGCGAAUAAGCAUCGGCUAACUCCGUGCCAGCAGCCGCGGUAAUACGGGGGAUGCGAGCGUUAUCCGGAUUCAUUGGGUUUAAAGGGUGCGUAGGCUGUGCGUCAAGUCAGGGGUGAAAUUCCGGGGCUCAACUCCGGGGCUGCCCUUGAUACUGUCGCGCUGGAGUGCGGAUGCCGCCGGAGGAAUGAGUGGUGUAGCGGUGAAAUGCUUAGAUAUCACUCAGAACACCGAUUGCGAAGGCAUCUGGCGAAUCCGUAACUGACGCUGAGGCACGAAAGCGUGGGGAUAGAACAGGAUUAGAUACCCUGGUAUUCCACGCCGUAAACGAUGAUGGCUAACCGCCGGCGACACACUGUCGGUGGCCAAGCGAAAGCGAUAAGCCAUCCACCUGGGGAGUACGUCGGCAACGAUGCAACUCAAAGGAAUUGACGG
rnacentral:rRNA from 1 species